AUUGAACGCUGGCGGCAGGCCUAACACAUGCAAGUCGAACGGUAACAGGAAGAAGCUUGCUUCUUUGCUGACGAGUGGCGGACGGGUGAGUAAUGUCUGGGAAACUGCCUGAUGGAGGGGGAUAACUACUGGAAACGGUAGCUAAUACCGCAUAACGUCGCAAGACCAAAGAGGGGGACCUUCGGGCCUCUUGCCAUCGGAUGUGCCCAGAUGGGAUUAGCUAGUAGGUGGGGUAACGGCUCACCUAGGCGACGAUCCCUAGCUGGUCUGAGAGGAUGACCAGCCACACUGGAGCUGAGACACGGUCCAGACUCCUACGGGAGGCAGCAGUGGGGAAUAUUGCACAAAGGGCGCAAGCCUGAUGCAGCCAUGCCGCGUGUAUGAAGAAGGCCUUCGGGUUGUAAAGUACUUUCAGCGGGGAGGAAGGGAGUAAAGUUAAUACCUUUGCUCAUUGACGUUACCCGCAGAAGAAGCACCGGCUAACUCCGUG
rnacentral:rRNA from 1 species